rnacentral:rRNA from 1 species
UACGUAGGGAGCGAGCGUUGUCCGGAUUUAUUGGGCGUAAAGCGCGCGUAGGCGGUUUGGUAAGCCGGGUGUGAAACCCUCGAGCUCAACUCGGGGCGGCCACUCGGAACUGCUAUGACUUGAGUCUGGUAGGGGAACACGGAAUACCUGGUGUAGCGGUGAAAUGCUUAGAUAUCAGGUGGAACACCAGUGGCGAAGGCGGUGUUCUGGGCCAGUACUGACGCUGAGACGCGAAAGCGUGGGGAGCGAACAGG